GUCCAGGGCUAGGAGCCUCAGCCGGCGGACGCCAGGAAACAGCCAAGAACUGAACCAAAAUACAAACAACAUAAACUACCACUUGAUGAGAAGAACUUCAAAGUCAAAUUGCAAAAGGUGACUAAAAAAGGGGAGUACUUUCAGCCGUUUUCAAAAUAAUCUAUGAUAUGUACUGGAAAACUUCUAAUAAUCCUUGUCAUUUUACAACUUUCCCACAGUUAGAUCAUCAGCAAAUGUCACUUGGAUCCCUAGCUAAAUUGUUCUUCCCAGAAAAUAGUUAUCUCCACUAUGGAAAGUAUUUUAUCAGAAGAAUUCGUAGAAGUAGAAUCUGUUUGUCUUCAGUUAAACAAAAGAAGAACCUCAUUGCUUUCCAACUGGGCCCCGGCCAUUUUCCAGUUGAAACAUCAAAUAUUUUAUUUGUGUCUUUCACUGCCAAUUAAAGGGCAACAGAAAUGGUACAGGUAAAUCAUCUUCUCUUUGGAGGUCUUUCCAAAGAAGACUUUAAUUCAAGCAUUUCCUAGAGUAUGUACCAUAAAGUCUUAUCUGCAGAUUUAGACUUGAAUAUGCAUUACAUCAUUGGAAAAUAUUAUGUCACUGAAAUUGGAAAAGGUUGAGUUAAACAAAACUAAACUAUUAACUGUAUUACAAGAUCUCUGAGAUUUUGGUUUGGUAGCUUCCAGGGGCGUCUUACGUAGUGAUGCUGUUUAGGGGCAUCUAGAGAUCAGGAACAACACUUGUUCUGCUGAUACAGAUUUGGGAAUGAAAUCUGAAAAGGCAUGAAAUAGACUGGUAGAAGGGAAAAAAUGUUAAGAAAAGAGCAUUCAUAUUUUAUUCUAGGUAACAGCUUGAUAAGUUGAUACAGAGGGAGGAGAAUAAUAAAAAGAACACAAGCAAAUAUUUAGAGAAGUAUCAGUGAAUUAUAAGGUUUUUAUGUGAUUUUUCUAGGGUCUUUGUUGAUUUGUCAAAGAAAAUCAAGAAAAAUAGCAUACACUUUCUUCUUUAAACCCCUUUUGUGUAUAUGCUUUUGUGUCUGUGUGUAUAAAAUAUGUUUAUAAAUACAUUAAACUAUUUUUACUAAUUAA
ensembl:lncRNA LINC00879 long intergenic non-protein coding RNA 879